GUUGCUGCUGCGGUUAAAAAGCUCGUAGUUGGAUCUGCGCUUGAGAACUUGGUCCACCAUUUUGGUGCUGAACUAAGUACAUCUCAGUGUUUACCGUUUAGCUGGUUCUCCUAGCGUUGCCUUUACCGGUCGCGUUAGGUGGCUAGCAAGUUUACUUUGAAAAAAUUAGAGUGCUUAAAGCGGGCUAUUGAUGCUUGAAUAGUGGUGCAUGGAAUAAUAGAAUACGAUUACGGAUCUAUUUUGUUGGUUUUCUGAUCUGUGAUAAUGGUUAAGAGGGACAAACGGGGGCAUUCGUAUCGCUGCGCGAGAGGUGAAAUUCGUGGACCGUAGCGAGACGCCCUACUGCGAAAGCAUUUGCCAAGAAUGUUUUCAUUAAUCAAGAAC
rnacentral:rRNA from 1 species